AAUGCGGGACUCUAAGAGGCCCCGUAAUUGGAAUGAGUACACCUUAAAUCGUUAACGAGUAUCAAUUGGAGGGCAAGUCUGGUGCCAGCAGCCGCGGUAAUUCCAGCUCCAAUAGCGUAUAUUAAAGUUGCUGCAGUUAAAAAGCUCGUAGUUGGAUCUGGGGCUUGAGGUCGCUGUCUAUCGUUUCGGCGAUGACGGUGAUGCUCAGCUCUGCUUGCCGGUGACUGUUGCGGUGUUCUUCACUGAGCGCUGUAGCAGCACGGCACGUUUACUUUGAAAAAAUUAGAGUGCUCAAAGCGUGCUUGUCGCUUGAAUAAUGUUGCAUGGAAUAAUGGAAUAGGACCUCGGUUCUAUUUUGUUGGUUUUCGGAGCUUGAGGUAAUGAUUAAGAGGGACGAACGGGGGCAUUCGUAUUGCGGUGUUAGAGGUGAAAUUCUUGGAUCGCCGCGAGACGGACUACUGCGAAAGCAUUUGCCAAGAACGCUUUCAUUAAUUAAGAACGAAAGUCAGAGGUUCGAAGACGAUCAGACACCGUCCUAGUUCUGACCAUAAACGAUGCCGACCAGCGAUCCGUAGUGGUUGCUUUAUGGACCCUACGGGCAGCCUCCGGGAAACCAAAGUAUUUGGGUUCCGGGGGAAGUAUGGUUGCAAAGCUGAAACUUAAAGGAAUUGACGGAAGGGCACACCAGGAGUGGAGCCUGCGGCUUAAUUUGACCCAACACGGGAAAACUCACCCGGUCCGGACACCGUAAGGAUUGACAGACUGAUAGCUCUUUCUUGAUUCGGUGGAUGGUGGUGCAUGGCCGUUCUUAGUUGGUGGAGUGAUUUGUCUGGUUAAUUCCGAUAACGAACGAGACUCUAGCCUGCUAAGUAGUGUUGCUAUUGUUAUAUGGUUGACACUUCUUAGAGGGACAAGUGGCAUUUAGCCACGCGAAAUUGAGCAAUAACAGGUCUGUGAUGCCCUUAGAUGUCCGGGGCCGCACGCGCGCUACACUGGAGAAGUCAGCGUGUGUUAUCCAAGUCCGAAAGGACUGGGUAAUCCGUUGAACCUUCUUCGUGCUUGGACUGUGGCUUGGAACUAUUCCACAUGAACGAGGAAUUCCUAGUAAUUGCAAGUCAUAAGCUUGCGUUGAUUACGUCCCUGCCCUUUGUACACACCGCCCGUCGCUACUACCGAUUGAAUGGUUUAGCAAGGUCCUCGGAUCGUGGCCGUAGGGGCACGCAAGUGUUUCUGCGGUUUGCGAGAAGACGACCAAACUUGAUCAUUUAGA
rnacentral:rRNA from 1 species